GCGGAUAUGAUGGAAUUGGUAGACGUGCUAGAUUUAGGUUCUAGUCUCCAGUAGGGGGUGUGGGUUCGAGUCCCACUAUCCGUA
rnacentral:tRNA from 1 species